rnacentral:rRNA from 1 species
UACGUAGGGUGCGAGCGUUAAUCGGAAUUAUUGGGCGUAAAGGGCGCGUAGGCGGCUUGUUAAGUCGGCUGUGAAAGCCCGGGGCUCAACCCCGGAGGGUCAGCCGAUACUGGCAGGCUAGAGUACGGAAGAGGCGAGUGGAAUUCCUGGUGUAGCGGUGAAAUGCGCAGAUAUCAGGAGGAACACCAAUUGCGAAGGCAGCUCGCUGGGACGUAACUGACGCUGAGACGCGAAAGCGUGGGGAGCAAACAGG